rnacentral:tRNA from 1 species
GGGCUUUAGUUGAGCUUCUUCCUUGAACCAGUGGACUCAUAAUCCAUUGGUCAAAGGUUCGAGUCCUUCCGGGCCCACCA